GGAUCAUUAUCGUACAACUGAGGCACGAGGGCUGUCGCUGACUUUUUUGUCGUGCACGCCCGAGUGNUCUCAAACAUCCAUCUCACCCCUAUGUGCACCACCGCGUGNNCCCCUUUCGGCUCGUCCGGAGGGGGGCUCGCGUUUUCACACAAACUUGAUACAGUGUAGAAUGUCCUUCUUUGCGAUAACACGCAAUUAAUACAACUUUCAACAACGGAUCUCUUGGCUCUCGCAUCGAUGAAGAACGCAGCGAAAUGCGAUACGUAAUGUGAAUUGCAGAAUUCAGUGAAUCAUCGAAUCUUUGAACGCACCUUGCGCCCCUUGGCAUUCCGGGGGGCACACCCGUUUGAGUGUCGUGAAAUUCUCAAAACCUUUUCUUUUGAAAAGGAUUUUGGACUUGGAGGCCUUUUGCUGGNUUCGCAUUGAAGCGAGCUCCUCCUAAAUGGAUUAGUGGGGNCUGCUUUGCCGAUCCUUGACGUGAUAAGAUGUUUCUACGUCUUGGNUUUGGCACCGCACCCGCUCCUAACCGUCUCAUCGACAAUGAUGGCGUUCCGG
rnacentral:rRNA from 1 species